CUACGGGUGGCUCCAGUGAGGAAUAUUGCACAAUGGGGGGAACCCUGAUGCAGCAACGCCGCGUGGAGGAUGACGCAUUUCGGUGUGUAAACUCCUUUUAUAUGUCAAGAAAAUGACGGUAGCAUAUGAAUAAGCACCGGCUAACUCCGUGCCAGCAGCCGCGGUAAUACGGAGGGUGCAAGCGUUACUCGGGAUCACUGGGCGUAAAGGACGCGUAGGCGGGUUGGAAAGUCAGGUGUGAAAUCCUACAGCUUAACUGUAGAACUGCACCUGAAACUUCUAAUCUAGAGUAUGGGAGGGGGAGAUGGAAUUAGUGGUGUAGGGGUAAAAUCCGUAGAUAUCACUAGGAAUACCUAAAGCGAAGGCGAUCUCCUGGAACAUUACUGACGCUAAGGCGUGAAAGCGUGGGGAGCAAACAGGAUUAGAUACCCCGGUAGUC
rnacentral:rRNA from 1 species